rnacentral:rRNA from 1 species
UACGUAGGGUGCAAGCGUUGUCCGGAAUUAUUGGGCGUAAAGAGCUCGUAGGCGGUCUGUUGCGUCGGCUGUGAAAACCCGGGGCUCAACCCCGGGCCCUGCAGCCGAUACGGGCAGACUAGAGUUCGGCAGGGGAGACUGGAAUUCCUGGUGUAGCGGUGAAAUGCGCAGAUAUCAGGAGGAACACCGGUGGCGAAGGCGGGUCUCUGGGCCGAUACUGACGCUGAGGAGCGAAAGCGUGGGGAGCAAACAGG